rnacentral:miRNA from 1 species
CGCCAAGCUAUUUUAAGCAAUGA